AUUUGGUUCAUGUGCUUGGCUGAUAAGCCAAUGGUGCGAAGCUUCCAUCUGAGGGAUUAUGACUGAACGCCUCUAAGUCAGAAUCCCGCCUGGAAAGCGACGAUGCAUUCGUGCCUCGGCCUCGAGAGGCGUAGCUAGACGGCCGCGUGGCCGUGGAAAGAGCCCGAUUCCGACCCGAGAGGCCGCGGCAAGAGGCGGCCUCGAAGUCGGUGGAUCCUCCUGCUCGAAAGGCGGGGUGCUAAACCAUUCGCAGACGACCUAGUUGAAGAUCGGGGUGUCGUGAUCACUAGAGCAGUACAUCUCACUGCGAUUUGUUGAGAGUAAGCCUCAAGAUCUGUCGGUUUGU
rnacentral:ncRNA from 1 species